rnacentral:rRNA from 1 species
GAUGAACGCUGGCGGCGUGCCUAAUACAUGCGAGUCGAGCGAACAGACGAGGAGCUUGCUCCUCUGACGUUAGCGGCGGACGGGUGAGUAACACGUUGAUAACCUACCUAUAAGACUGGGAGAACGUCGGGAAAACGGAGAUAAUAACGGAUAAUAGAUUAAAACGCAUGGUUCAAUAGUGAUAGACGGAUUUGCUCUAACGUAUAAAUGGAACAGCGCCGUAUUAGCUAGUUGGUAAGGUAAGGGCUUACCAGGGCAACGAUGCUUAACCGACCUGAGAGGUUGAGCGGCCACACGGGAACUGGGACCCGGUCCAGACUCCUACGGGAGGCAGCAGUAGGGAUUCUUCCGCAAUGGGCGAAGGCUUGACGGAGCAACGCCGCGUGGGUGAUGAAGGUCUUCGGUUCGUAAAACUUGGUGAUUAGGGAGGAACAAAUGUGUAAGUAACUAUGCACGUCUUGACGGUACCUUAUCAGAAAGCCACGGCUAACUACGUG